GUCCUCUGCUAACCGUUCACCUCCACUUUCUCUUUCUAUACAUACAAUACACAACACACACACACACGCGGGUAUCUAUUCAUAUUAUAUAUAUAUAUAUAUUCUGGCAAUAUAUAUAUAUAUAUAUCGAGAGAGAGAGUUAAGGUGGUGAUGGGCAUAAGAGCUUUUCAACUUCCUGCCUUUGCAGUUCUUUCUCUCUCUUAUUGAUUACACAUUGUCACUGUUAUAGUUGUUGAGCAGCUACAAGAUAGAGAAAGUGCUACAAGGAAAAAGACUACAAUUGUUUUUAAAAUUCAAUUUUUUUUUGUGUGUGUGUGUAUAUAUAUUCUAGAGAGAGAGAGAGAGUAUUUUGUUUUGUAGAAAGAGAGCAAGAUAUUUGGAUGGGGACUUCAGGGCAGGGGCAGAGCAACUACGAUCUCUCGUUCAAGAUCUUGCUCAUCGGAGAUUCCGCUGUCGGCAAGAGCAGCCUGCUCGUCAGUUUCAUUUCUAACGUAGUUGACGAUCUCUCCCCAACGAUAGGUGUGGAUUUUAAGAUCAAGUUUCUCGCAGUUGGUGGGAAGAGAUUGAAGCUGACAAUUUGGGACACAGCUGGACAAGAGAGGUUCAGGACGUUAACCAGCUCAUACUAUAGAGGUGCACAGGGGAUCAUUCUUGUUUAUGAUGUAACAAGGAGAAAUUCAUUUACAAACUUAUCUGAUGUAUGGGCAAAAGAACUGGAACUGUACUCCACUAAUCAGGAUUGCAUCAAGAUGCUCGUUGGAAACAAAGUCGAUAGAGAAUCUGAACGAGUUGUCAGUAGGGAAGAGGGGCUGGCCCUGGCAAAAGAGCUUGGAUGUCUAUUUUAUGAAUGUAGUGCUAAAACUCGAGAAAAUGUGGAGCAAUGUUUUGAAGAGCUCGCGCUGAAGGUAGAUAAAUGCAUUAAUAUCGGUUUUCUAUAAAGAAUUCAGCUACAUCAUUGAGUAUUUGACAGAUAUAGUGAAAGACGGUUUUAAAGAUGGAGUCCUGUCUUUGAUUAUGGAGGUGCCAAGACUACUUGAAGAAGGAUCGACAGUUGUUAAGAGGAACAUCUUAAAACAGAAGCAAGAACACCAGACCCCUCCCAGCGGUGGUUGUUGCUCGUAGAAAACUGCAGUAGAAGCUCAAUGGCAAUUGUCAAACAGCGAAUCACAUGCUCCUCUGAUGGCGAAUUCUCCUUUAACGUUUCAUGUUCAAUAUGUGUAAAUGAUGAUUUCUUUUGUUUUCUCAAUGCUGCUGUCGUGCUGGAGCCGCUCUAGGUGCAUGCGUUGCUUUGCUACUGUUAUCAUUAGUAGCUCGUGUAAAGUUGUUGGCCGGUUUGGUGUUCUGAUCUCCAUAAUUUGCUGAGAAUCCACCUAAUUUGAUGGAAAACAGCACGCUUUAUCUGAUCUAAUAUUGGCUUUUACAAUGUAUUCUCUGCUUCUUGCAUCCUCGAAAACCUUAAUUCCAUCUUUCUAUGUCAGUGGUUGAAGUGCCAUAAUAUUUAUCUGGA